AGCAGUUUGCACAACAGCCGCUCUUCUGUUGGAUCAGACCACGGACCUGCCAUUGCUUCUCAUGCACAUCGGUGAGCCUCGGGUGCUCGUGUUUCCGUUACCAGGUUCAGGUUAUCGGGAUCCGUCCUCGGACCACUUGUGGUACACAUGACAGCACCCACAAUGAGUACAUAGGCGUCGGAACUGGACCUCGGAGCAAUGGAAGAAGGUCGACUGGUCCUCAAAGUCUUGUUCUCAGCAGGCCAGAGAUGUUCUGACAGCACAUUAAGAGGACGUUCUCCGUUAACCGAAAAGGCUCCGACAGAAUCUCCCAGGAUGCGUCGGCCCUCUGCGGAUAACGACCGAAACACAAUAAAGGACCUCGGAGGAGAUCAGAGGCAGCGAGGGAGGAGAUAAAGUGCUUAAGAUAAUUCAUAUUUCCUUCAAUCCACGGCAGAUUAACGGCUAGAGCUUUAGCCAUUCUCUUCCCGAAUAUUACAUUCCCGAUGCACACCUCCCUGCACGAGGGUGCUCGGGGCCUGGGUCUCUUCCUGUCGGCUUUGGAAAGCCGUCUGACAUCGAGCAUUCCGACAGAAAGGAUAUUAUGAUGGGAUAUCGAUUCACGAGAUGAGCAAUAGAGCUUAAGUAAACAGCGAUUUACAGUCGCCGAGAC